UUAUCUAUUUGUCACUGUAAAAAUAAGUUUUUCGUUUCUUCUGCAUUUGUAUUUUUUCAGGAGAACGAGGAAGGAUCCCCAUCGGUCCAAGGGCUGGUGCAUCAUGGCAGUAUAUCUAUCCAGAGGGGAUAAAAUAUCUUUUGAAUUACACCAAAGACAAUUACCAAGAUCCAAUAAUUUACAUAACUGAGAAUGGGUACAGCCGCUUGCUUGAUGCUAAUGUAUCAGAUGCUAAAGCCUUGAAUGAUAGUCCAAGAAUAGAAUUCCAUUUUCACCAUCUUCGGAAUGUUAUAAAAUCUAUCGACGAUUAUGAAGUUCAAGUCAAAGGUUACUUUGCAUGGUCUUUCACCGACGACUUUGAAUUUACAGAUGGAUACACCAUAGGAUUUGGUUUGGUGCAUAUAAACCGUAAAUCUAAUUUAACAAGACAAAUGAAGCUCUCAGCAUCCUGGUUUUCAGAAUGCCUUUCGAAG